AGAGCGAGCCGCCGUUCAGGUCAACUACUGACGAACAAAUCUUUUGCGAAGGGGAUUGCAAAUCCGACAAAAAGUGGGGUUUUUCAGACCAAAACGCGUUAUGCCUGCAUGAAAGCAGGAGUGAAGCGGCGUACCGCGACGCCGCUAUUUAUCGGAAGGUUUAUCUUGCUGCGGUUUGUUGUUGACCAUAUCGCACAACAUAGAGAGCAGCAUUAACCGUACUUUAAAGGGAGAAUGACUAAACACGCGCAUACACCUCUUGAACUCAUUCAUAAGACCUCCUGACUUGCUAAUCCCGUCGAUCCUUGAGGGAUGAUUGCAUUACAUACAGAUAUAGCAC
rnacentral:sRNA from 1 species